UACGGGGGGAGCAAGCGUUGUUCGGAUUUACUGGGCGUAAAGGGCGCGUAGGCGGUCGUGACAAGUCACUUGUGAAAUCUCCGGGCUUAACUCGGAACGGUCAAGUGAUACUGUCGGACUAGAGUACAGAAGGGGCAACUGGAAUUCUCGGUGUAGCGGUGAAAUGCGUAGAUAUCGAGAGGAACACCUGCGGCGAAGGCGGGUUGCUGGGCUGAUACUGACGCUGAGGCGCGAAAGCGUGGGUUGCAAACAGG
rnacentral:rRNA from 1 species